UAGAAAUGAGCAAACUACAAAAGGUCACAAGGUUUGUUUUGGACCAGUAGUGGAUAUAUAUCUAAACCUCUUGAACCUGGCAAACAGGGAACUCCUUCUGGAAGUCUUCAAGAGGAGACUGGACAGACACCUUGUUGAGAUCAUUUGAUAUCAGCAAUAUUCCUGUCCAGAGCAGGGGGCUGGACUCAAUGAUCCUUCGAGGUCCCUUCCAGCCAAUAAUUUCUAUGAUUCUAUGACCUUUCUGCUUCUUUCCAAUAUCACCACAACAGGAUAUGUGAGGGACACACAAAAAAGCUGGGGGAGAGGCACUGAAUGGAGUGAACUUUUUCAGUCUACAGACAAAGGAGCUGAUGCCUGAAGUUUAGGAGAGUUUGGCCCUUCACUGGGACACUGCUUUUUAUUUUCAAGGUUUCAGGCAAUGCAGCGUGCUCUGUUCACUGUGGCCUCUACACAUUUCUACUUAUGGGCUAAAGAAACACUCCACUCAAAGAAGUACUUGCCAGGUGGAUCAGUGGCUGCCACCUCUGCUGUCAAUAGCCAACAGAAAAUAUUUUACCAGCAAUGCUUAGGGGAACAGCUUCUUUCAGGAGAAGAGUCAAGAAUGGAAUGGACAUGGAGCAUUAGUUCUUGGAUGAGUCCCUGUGGUGUAUGCAUGGGAAGGAGCACAGGAGAAGGUUUUGCUGCUGCUACCAGGUUUGUACCUGUUCUUCAAAUGAACCAACAUGUCUAGAGCUGUCAGUUUGGCUCCUUUCACCAGCAUUAAACACCAGUAUAAAACACCAAAGCCUAGUGCUAGGACUGAAGUGGAGCACUUACCAGCUUCCUUGGAAGAGAAAGGAUUCUUCUUCUGUGUAUUUGUACAAGUCAAAAAAAGCUAUUUUUUAAUAUGAACACACCACAGAUAUUUGACUUGACCCAUCCUCAGUCAUACACUAGGGAAAGCACAUGAAAUGUGUGUUCUGUUCCCACUUGAAAGAGAUCUUUCUUCAGAGUUAUUCUUUAAUGUCAGCCUCAAACAAUUGGCAGGGCAUUUCUUAUUCCAGUGUGGAGAGAUCAGCGGGACCCUGUGAAAGAUAAUGCAGGAUUCCAGCAUAAUCAUGGGUGCUUGUAUAAGGAGAAUCAGUGACUCUGUUCCCCCCCUUUGCAAAGUGGCAUUUUUGCAUACCCAUGAGAGCGCUCCCUUCCUCAGGGAUCUCAAAGGUGGGGGGGCUUUGAACUCCACUUCAAAGCUGGGGGCUUGGAGUGAAGUAUUUGUAAACUCAAAGGAACAGCAAAUAUUUGCAGGAACUGAUUAGCCCCCUCACCACCUUGAUGGGCAACUGUACAAGAUGGCUGGCCAGAGUUCAGCAAGCUUUGAAGUGUACCUUGAAAGUUCACAGAGUCUCUAUAGAUCUGUACAAUACUUACAUUUUCCAUAGAAACUCAAGAGGACAACUUCUUGUUCAGUUUUGUGCAGCCUGUCAGCUUUUUCUGGUCAGGUAUAAAUAGUAAAAGUCAAGAGCUAAAUUCUGUUACUGAUGCCAAUGUAAAUUCAAAGUAACUCCAGUUAAUCAGUCGGGUUACUCCAGGUUCACACCAGUUGUUUUGUAUACUGAAAAUGGAACCUACCUCGUUGUUCUAGUAGUUUGAUUACGUAUGGAAAUAGGACUGGACGGGAACUCUUGAGUUGCUGAGUUGAGUCCUCUGUUGUCAAAGACAGUAUCACAUAAUCACUUUAAUAAAUGUAUUAACUUCCAGCUUAAA